rnacentral:rRNA from 1 species
UACGUAGGGUGCAAGCGUUGUCCGGAAUUAUUGGGCGUAAAGAGCUCGUAGGCGGCUUGUCGCGUCUGCUGUGAAAAUCCAGGGCUUAACCCUGGACCUGCAGUGGGUACGGGCAGACUAGAGUGCGGUAGGAGAGAUCGGAAUUCCUGGUGUAGCGGUGAAAUGCGCAGAUAUCAGGAGGAACACCGGUGGGCGAAGGCGGAUCUCUGGGCCGUAACUGACGCUGGAGGAG